AGAGUUUGAUCCUGGCUCAGGAUGAACGCUAGCUACAGGCUUAACACAUGCAAGUCGAGGGGUAGCAGGGUAGCAAUACCGCUGACGACCGGCGCACGGGUGAGUAACACGUAUCCAACCUUCCCAUAACUCAGGGAUAGCCUUUCGAAAGAAAGAUUAAUACCUGAUAGUACUUUUUCAAGGCAUCUUGAGAAAGUUAAAGAUUUAUUGGUUAUGGAUGGGGAUGCGUUCCAUUAGAUAGUUGGUGAGGUAACGGCUCACCAAGUCUUCGAUGGAUAGGGGUUCUGAGAGGAAGGUCCCCCACAUUGGUACUGAGACACGGACCAAACUCCUACGGGAGGCAGCAGUGAGGAAUAUUGGUCAAUGGGCGAGAGCCUGAACCAGCCAAGUAGCGUGAGGGAAUGAAGGUCCUAUGGAUUGUAAACUUCUUUUAUAGUAGAAUAAAGUGAUCCACGUGUGGAUUUUUGUAUGUAUACUAUGAAUAAGGAUCGGCUAACUCCGUGCCAGCCGCCGC
rnacentral:rRNA from 1 species